UUUGGUGCGUUGGCCGGGAAAGGAGAUCCUCCACCCAGGGACCACCGACCACCCACUGGGAGGUAAGCUGGCCGGCGUCUGUCUGUCUGCCUGAUUUUGUCUCGUUCUGCCUUAUUCUGUCUGUUCUGUGAGCGCUCAGCCAGGUCUGUUCUGUGAGCGCUCAGCCAGGUCUGUUCUGUGAGUGCUCAGCCAGGUUGUUUGGAAUUUGGGCGGGACGAAGAAGGAGCUGACGAGCUCGGACUUCUCGCCCUGCAGCCCUGGAAGACGUUCCAAGGGUGUUAGGGGCCCGACUUUUCGGGGCCCAAUCUGGGAGAGGAGAAAGAUCCGGACUAACGGCACCUCUGUCUGUAUUUUUGGCUUUCAGAGGGCCCCGGACCUUUGCCACCUCCAUCUGACUUUUUGCUUUCAGUUUGGUACCAAAGCCGUGCAGCACGCCUGUCUGUUGUUUGUUUGACUGUUGGUGUUGUUUGUUUUCUCUGUGUUCUAAUCUUCCUUAGAACUAACAUGGGACAGUCCCUAACAAUGCCCCUAAGUCUCACUCUUGAUCAUUGAGAAGACGUCCACGACCGGACACACAACCAGUCCAUCGAGGUUAAAAAAGGAAAAUGACAGACUCUCUACACAUCCGAGUGGCCCACUUUCGGAGCGGGAUGGCCAGUGAAUGACACAUUUAAUAAGAUCAUUAUUUUACAGGUUAAAGAUCGGGUCGUCCACGGACAUCCUGACCAGGUUUCUUAUAUUAUCACUUGAGAGAGUCUCGCCUUAACCCCCCCCCGGGCGGAACCCUUCGUGAACCCGAAUUGGCCUCCCCUCAACCCCCAGCCUGUCCCCUCGGCCCCGCCCGGUCCGCCGGCCACGUCUUCCUCUCUCUACCUUUGUGAAAUCAGAGCCUUCUAAGAAACCUGUCCUCCCGGCAGACCCAAACUCCCCUCUCAUAGA
ensembl:lncRNA